AGCACAUGUUGACCUAAGCGCUGACUGAGAUUGCUCAUGACAUGUGUGCUGUUAAUUUACAAAAAAAUGUGCUAGUGGAUGAGGGGAUCUGGCCUUCCAGCGGAGAAUCCGGUUUUUCGUUACAAGGCCUUCCAGUCUGUUUCAUCUUGAAGACCAAAAUGGGUAUCACACUCAGUUUGAGAUUUGACUAUAUCAAAACGGUCCUGGCUCAACAAUUUACUUUGGUAAAAGGAUGGAGAACCCAUUGGACACAAAUUCAACACAAAAGGCAAAUGAAUUAAAAGUUGAAAAGCACAGUUUUAAGUUGUGGAUGGUUAGGAUCUACAGUGCACUGCCUAUCAGUUUGGCAAAUUUCAGUUCAACCAAUUGAAGGCAUAAGGGGAAAAGAUGCUGAAAUCGAUCUGAGUUGCUCUUCCAGAGAGCUGGCAUGAACACAACAGGCCAACUGACUUCUUUUUAUGCUAUAACCAUUGAGUGAUUCUAUGAUUCUUGACAUAGAUUAUUCCAUCCUCCAUAAUCUUUAGACCAUUCAAA